rnacentral:rRNA from 1 species
UACGUAGGGUGCAAGCGUUGUCCGGAAUUAUUGGGCGUAAAGAGUUCGUAGGCGGUGUGUCGCGUCGGCCGUGAAAACCUGGGGCUCAACUCUGGGCGUGCGGUCGAUACGGGCAUCACUAGAGUUCGGUAGGGGAGACUGGAAUCCUGGUGUAGCGGUGAAAUGCGCAGAUAUCAGGAGGAACACCGGUGGCGAAGGCGGGUCUCUGGGCCGAUACUGACGCUGAGGAGCGAAAGCGUGGGGAGCGAACAGG